CCCUUAGAUGUUCUGGGCCGCACGCGCGCUACACUGACGAAUGCAACGAGCUUAUAACCUUGGCCGAAAGGUCUGGGUAAUCUCCAAAUUUCGUCGUGAUGGGGAUAGAUUAUUGGAAUUAUUGAUCUUGAACGAGGAAUGCCUAGUAAUCGUAGGUCAUCAGCCUGCGAUGAUUACGUCCCUGCCCUUUGUACACACCGCCCGUCGCUCCUACCGAUUUCGAGUGGUUCGGUGAACCUUUCGGACCGGCAAUGCCUCGUGUUGCGCCGGAAAGUCAAGUAAACCAUAUCACUUAGAGGAAGGAGAAGUCGUAACA
rnacentral:rRNA from 1 species